rnacentral:lncRNA from 1 species
UGAGGGAUUGGUUUGUUUGACUUAAAGCUCCUUUUAACAGCAGAGCCAGAGCUUAUUCCAGUAUACAAAAUACCCUCCAGGACUGUACUACCUGGGUUUUUGUUUAACACCUACAAAGGUGUGAAAAGCUAUCAAUAACUUGAAAAAAAAAAAAAAAAGACUUUAGCAGGAAGAUAUCUCUUUUUUCCUGCUUUACUUAGCAAGCAAGCUGUAGGUGGCUGUAUCUUGUUAGUUUAGGGACAAUACAAACACAUAAAUCCUUUGGACCAGAAUAAGAAAUAUAUUAAUUCUGCAUACAGAAAGAUACUUUAAUGAACAGAAAGUGACCUUUUUGUUACAUCGUAACUGAUUCAUAGGGACACAUCAAACGCCCAACACUCAAAAGCAUGCCAACUUCUAGUCCACUCUCCAUUUUUGCAAUUACAUGAUCAAACGAUUACUGAUAUCUCCAUAGUUAUGAACUGCCUCCGUAUGCCAAUAGCCUCUGCCUUAGCCUUCAUUUCAUAGAAACAUAAAGACUGUUGACAAGUGAUUUGACAUCAAACUAUUUUGAAUGCGGUAUUUAGAAAAAAUAGUGCAUACACACAGAGUCUGCAGCUGCCUCUGACAAGCUUAUGUAGCUGCUUCCAGAUCUUCAGCUUUACAGUGUUAAUCAGUAUUUAACAUACACUUUACAGCAUGUACUUUCUUGAUAGUUGCUUAGGCUUUCAGUGUAUUGGAUAUACAGUGCAGCAGCCACUACGCUGAUUGAUCACAUACCUCAAAAUAAUUAAACCAAGCACAGCUUAAGGCAUUGUCUCAGGGAGAAGCGAUAAAUCUGUAGAUAUUCUUUCUCUACUGAUUUCCUUGAAAAUUUAAAAAAAANAAAAAGAAAAAGAAAAAGAAAAAGAAAAAGAAAAAGAAAAAGAAAAAGAAAAAGAAAAAGAAAAAAAAAAAAGAAAAAAGAAAAGAAAAAGAAAAAGAAAACAAGAAAAAAACAACAUAGUAUUUCUAUCAUUAUUCAGAAAUACUUUCUGUCUUAAACAGAUACAAAUGACUCUGGAGGCGAAGCUCAUCUUCAUUACUCAUCAUCUGUGCAUCUCCUGUGAUGACAUGGCAGGACUGAAACCAGCUAAGGUAAAUAAUAACCCUUUUUGACCUUGUGAUAUUUUUAUGUGGUAUUUUGUGAUACUUGCUGUUCAAACACUCAUGCCAAGACUUCAUUUUUCCAGAAUCCACAUGAUGGAAGUUAGCUUUUCAGGACACUUGCUGUACACUGAGUAACUGCAGCUGGUGUAGCCUAGAACAUCAGUGUUUGCUUAGGAACUCUGCUUUUAAGCAGACUUUUCAAAACAGACAAAAGGAGGUUUAAGAACAAAUCAAACCUAACAACAACAACAAAGACAACCAGAAAAAUGAGAUAAACACCUGCAGGUAAAACUGAAAUAUUGAAUUCAAAAUAAUAUAUGACAAGAAAUAGGUGUUUUCAGUAUAUGUGGUUCUUCUUGCAGUAAUAAAUUGAUCAGUGGUACCUUGCUUAAGGGCA